rnacentral:rRNA from 1 species
GACGAACGCUGGCGGCGUGCCUAAUACAUGCAAGUCGAACGCUUCUUUCCUCCCGAGUGCUUGCACUCAAUUGGAAAGAGGAGUGGCGGACGGGUGAGUAACACGUGGGUAACCUACCCAUCAGAGGGGGAUAACACUUGGAAACAGGUGCUAAUACCGCAUAACAGUUUAUGCCGCAUGGCAUAAGAGUGAAAGGCGCUUUCGGGUGUCGCUGAUGGAUGGACCCGCGGUGCAUUAGCUAGUUGGUGAGGUAACGGCUCACCAAGGCCACGAUGCAUAGCCGACCUGAGAGGGUGAUCGGCCACACUGGGACUGAGACACGGCCCAGACUCCUACGGGAGGCAGCAGUAGGGAAUCUUCGGCAAUGGACGAAAGUCUGACCGAGCAACGCCGCGUGAGUGAAGAAGGUUUUCGGAUCGUAAAACUCUGUUGUUAGAGAAGAGCAAGGACGUUAGUAACUGAACGUCCCCUGACGGUAUCUAACCAGAAAGCCACGGCUAACUACGUG